AGAGUUUGAUCCUGGCUCAGGAUGAACGCUGGUGGCGUGCUUAACACAUGCAAGUCGAACGAAGCAUUUCGGUCUUAAUCUUCGGAAGCGGACUGAUCUGACUGAGUGGCGGACGGGUGAGUAACGCGUGGGUAACCUGCCCUGUACAGGGGGAUAACAGUUAGAAAUGACUGCUAACACCGCAUAAGCGCACAGGAAGGCAUCUUUCGGUGUGAAAAUAUUUAUAGGUACAGGAUGGGCCCGCGUCUGAUUAGCCAGUUGGCAGGGUAACGGCCUACCAAAGCAAUGAUCAGUAGCCGGCCUGAGAGGGUGAACGGCCACAUUGGGACUGAGACACGGCCCAAACUCCUACGGGAGGCAGCAGUGGGGAAUAUUGCACAAUGGGGGAAACCCUGAUGCAGCGACGCCGCGUGAGUGAAGAAGUUAUUCGUAACGUAAAGCUCUAUCAGCAGGGAAGAAAAUGACGGUACCUGACUAAAAAGCCCCGGCUAACUACGUGCCAGCAGCCGCGGCAAUACGUAGGGGGCAAGCGUUUAUCCGGAUUUACUGGGUGUAAAGGGAGUGUAGACGGCACAGCAAGUCUGAUGUGAAAGCCCCGGGGCCCCACCCCCGGAACUGCAUUGGAAAACGCAAGGGCUUGAGGCAAGGGGAGGUAAGCGGAAUUCCUUGUGUAGGGGUGAAAUGCGUAGAUAUUAGGAGGAACCCCAGUGGGGAAGGCGGGCUUACUGGGACCGUAACUGACGUUGAGGCUCGAAAGCGUGGGGAGCAAAACAGGAUUUAGAUACCCUGGUAGUCCACGCCGUAAAACGAUGAUUGCUAGGUGUCGGGGGACCAAGGUCCUUCGGUGCCGCCGCAAACGCAAUAAGUAAUCCACCUGGGGAGUACGUUCGCAAGAAUGAAACUCAAAGGAAUUGACGGGGACCCGCACAAGCGGUGGAGCAUGUGGUUUAAUUCGAAGCAACGCGAAGAACCUUACCUGGUCUUGACAUCCCGAUGACCGCUCUGUAAUGAGAGCUUUUCUUCGGAACAUUGGAGACAGGUGGUGCAUGGUUGUCGUCAGCUCGUGUCGUGAGAUGUUGGGUUAAGUCCCGCAACGAGCGUAACCCCUAUCUUCAGUAGCCAGCAUUUAAGGUGGGCACUCUGGAGAGACUGCCCGGGAUAACCGGGAGGAAGGCGGGGAUGACGUCAAAUCAUCAUGCCCCUUAUGACCAGGGCUACACACGUGCUACAAUGGCGUAACAAAGGGAAGCGAACCCGUGAGGGGGAGCAAAUCCCAAAAAUAACGUCCCAGUUCGGACUGUAGUCUGCAACCCGACUACACGAAGCUGGAAUCGCUAGUAAUCGCGAAUCAGAAUGUCGCGGUGAAUACGUUCCCGGGUCUUGCACUCACCGCCCGUCA
rnacentral:rRNA from 1 species